GCCUUUAUGUGCUUCUUCGUUACAUUUGUUGUUUUUAUAGUGAUAUUAAGAUGAUAACACAAUAUUGACUGCUGUACCCCUAUUUUUGACAUUUUUACUCUUUGAGUAUGUUUGUUUUGUUCAUACAUCGUUGACAAUGUAAUGGAAUUUGACGCAACUGUCAUACAAGUGAGAGGUUUAGCUAGCUAUAAAACCAGGUUCAAUCCACCAUUUUCUAUAUUAGAAAAUGCCUGUACCAAGUCAGGAAUAUGACAGUUGUUAUCCAUUCGUUUGAUGUGUUUGGACAUUUGAUUUUG
rnacentral:lncRNA from 1 species